GACGAAUGCUGGCGGCGUGCCUAAUACAUGCAAGUAGAACGCUGAAGGAGGAGCUUGCUUCUCCGGAUGAGUUGCGAACGGGUGAGUAACGCGUAGGUAACCUGCCUGGUAGCGGGGGAUAACUAUUGGAAACGAUAGCUAAUACCGCAUAAGAGUAGAUGUCGCAUGACAUUUGCUUAAAAGGUGCAACUGCACCACUACCAGAUGGACCUGCGUUGUAUUAGCUAGUUGGUGAGGUAACGGCUCACCAAGGCAACGAUACAUAGCCGACCUGAGAGGGUGAUCGGCCACACUGGGACUGAGACACGGCCCAGACUCCUACGGGAGGCAGCAGUAGGGAAUCUUCGGCAAUGGACGGAAGUCUGACCGAGCAACGCCGCGGGAGUGAAGAAGGUUUUCGGAUCGUAAAGCUCUGUUGUAAGAGAAGAACGAGUGUGAGAGUGGAAAGUUCACACUGUGACGGUAUCUGACCAGAAAGGGACGGCUAACUACGUG
rnacentral:rRNA from 1 species